UUUGUUCCUGGCUCAGGACGAACGCUGGCGGCGUGCUUAACACAUGCAAGUCGAACGAUGAAGCCUAGCUUGCUAGGUGGAUUAGUGGCGAACGGGUGAGUAAUACGUGAGUGACCUACCUUCGACUCUGGGAUAAGCCUGGGAAACUGGGUCUAAUACCGGAUACGACCAAUCUCCGCAUGGGGUGUUGGUGGAAAGCGUUAUGGAGUGGUUUUAGAUGGGCUCACGGCCUAUCAGCUUGUUGGUGAGGUAAUGGCUUACCAAGGCGACGACGGGUAGCCAGCCUGAGAGGGUGACCGGCCACACUGGGACUGAGACACGGCCCAGACUCCUACGGGAGGCAGCAGUGGGGAAUAUUGCACAAUGGGCGCAAGCCUGAUGCAGCGACGCCGCGUGAGGGAUGACGGCCUUCGGGUUUGUAAACCUCUGUUAGCAUCGAAGAAGCGAAAGUGACGGUAGGUGCAGAGAAAGCGCCGGCUAACUACGUGCCAGCAGCCGCGGUAAUACGUAGGGCGCGGGCGUUGUCCGGAAUUAUUGGGCGUAAAGAGCUUGUAGGCGGUUGGUCGCGUCUGCUGUGAAAGGCUGGGGCUUAACCCUGGUUUUGCAGUGGGUACGGGCUAACUAGAGUGCAGUAGGGGAGACUGGAAUUCCUGGUGUAGCGGUGGAAUGCGCAGAUAUCAGGAGGAACACCGAUGGCGAAGGCAGGUCUCUGGGCUGUAACUGACGCUGAGAAGCGAAAGCAUGGGGAGCGAACAGGAUUAGAUACCCUGGUAGUCCAUGCCGUAAACGUUGGGCACUAGGUGUGGGGGACAUUCCACGUUUUCCGCGCCGUAGCUAACGCAUUAAGUGCCCCGCCUGGGGAGUACGGCCGCAAGGCUAAAACUCAAAGAAAUUGACGGGGGCCCGCACAAGCGGCGGAGCAUGCGGAUUAAUUCGAUGCAACGCGAAGAACCUUACCAAGGCUUGACAUAUACUGGACUGCGUCAGAGAUGGCGUUUCCCUUCGGGGCUGGUAUACAGGUGGUGCAUGGUUGUCGUCAGCUCGUGUCGUGAGAUGUUGGGUUAAGUCCCGCAACGAGCGCAACCCUCGUUCUAUGUUGCCAGCACGUGAUGGUGGGGACUCAUAGGAGACUGCCGGGGUCAACUCGGAGGAAGGUGGGGAUGACGUCAAAUCAUCAUGCCCCUUAUGUCUUGGGCUUCACGCAUGCUACAAUGGCCGGUACAGAGGGUUGCGAUACUGUGAGGUGGAGCUAAUCCCUAAAAGCCGGUCUCAGUUCGGAUUGGGGUCUGCAACUCGACCCCAUGAAGUCGGAGUCGCUAGUAAUCGCAGAUCAGCAACGCUGCGGUGAAUACGUUUCCCGGGCCCUUUGUACACACCGCCC
rnacentral:rRNA from 1 species